rnacentral:rRNA from 1 species
AAACCGUUGAAAGGGAAGCGAAUGGAGUUAGCAAUUCGCCCUGCCAGAUUCAGUUGUUCGCGCUUCGCGACGGGCGCGCUCUCGAUCCGCAUGGACGUGACGUGCACGGGUGCGACGUGCGGACGGCGCACUUCUGGCGGGCGAGCGUCAGCGUCGGUCGCCGACGGGCUAUAAGGUCGCGAGGAAGGUAGACGUGCCUCCGGGCGCGUUGUUAAGACUCGCGUUCGCAUGGCUCGACGGCGACCGUGGCUCCUUCACACGGAGGCGACGCGUGCCUGGCUGGCGACUCGUGCGAUCGGCCCGGCAUGUCGACCGUGGCGGACGGCCCGCCUGUGCCCUCGAACUGCUGCCGGUCGCUCGCCCGGGGCUCGCACACUACCCGUCGAAAACGCUGACACCCUUACGGUUCCUUCGAACCCGUCUUGAACCACGGACCAAGGAUUCUAACAUGUGCGCAAGUCUCCGGGUGAUCAAAACCCGGGGGCCCAAUGAAAGUAAAGGUCGUCCUAAACAAUUGAGGUGAGAAGCGCGCUUCGUCUCGUUGCGCGCCGCAUCAUCGACCGACCUAUUCUGUUCUCAGAAAGGUUUGAGUAAGAGCGUAUCUGUUGGGACCCGAAAGAUGGUGAACUAUGCCUGAAUAGGGGGAAGCCAGCGAACACCCUGGUGGA